UACGGAGGGUGCAAGCGUUGUCCGGAUUUAUUGGGUUUAAAGGGUGCGUAGGUGGUUUGAUAAGUCCGGGGUGAAAGCCCACAGCUCAACUGUGGAACUGCCCUGGAUACUGUCAGACUUGAGGGUAGACGAGGUUGGCGGAAUAGAAGGUGUAGCGGUGAAAUGCAUAGAUACCUUCUAGAACCCCGAUUGCGUAGGCAGCUGACUAGGCUACACCUGACACUGAGGCACGAAAAGCGUGGGGGAGCGAACAGG
rnacentral:rRNA from 1 species